CCCUUAGAUGUUCUGGGCCGCACGCGCGCUACACUGACAGAGCCAGCGAGUUCUUUUCCUUGGCCGGAAGGUCCUGGGUAAUCUUGUGAAACUCUGUCGUGCUGGGGAUAGAGCAUUGCAAUUAUUGCUCUUCAACGAGGAAUUCCUAGUAAGCGUGAGUCAUCAGCUCGCGUUGAUUACGUCCCUGCCCUUUGUACACACCGCCCGUCGCUACUACCGAUUGAAUGGCUUAGUGAGGCCUUCGGAUUGGCUUUGGGGAGCCGGCAACGGCACCCUGAAGCUGAGAAGUUGGUCAAACUUGGUCAUUUAGAGGAAGUAAAAGUCGUAACA
rnacentral:rRNA from 1 species